CAGAAGUUUAUUCUCCCGUAGUUCUGGAAGUGAGAAACUGAAAAUCAAGGUGUUGGAUAGGCCAUGCUCUCCAUGAAGCCUCUAGUGUAUAAAUAGAACCUCAGAAGAUGGUUAAGCUGAAGAGAGAGCCUUAAGAGGACAGCAUUCCAGCAGGAUCAAUUAACAGUUUGGAGACACUGUGGGGGAUAAGAGCCUGAGGUUUCCACACUCAGGCCUAGGGGACCAGAGGAUGCUUCUCCUUCCAACACUCAUGAGAGUCCAGCCAUUCAGAAUUCUCCACACCAUGACUGGGGUCCCAUGAACUGUCAAAGAUAAAGAACAACAAAUCUAAGGUUCUCAUAAGUGAGAGAGAAAAAAAUAUCAGGCAGAAAACCUAGAGCACAAAUUCAGCGGAAGCGAAUUGUUGGAAGAGCAGAAUAAUUGAAUUAAAAAAGGAAAUGUGCUUAAGAGCAGCAGAUAAAAGACUUCUUUGAACCUGACAACAUGAUUUCUGAAAUAAACAACUCAGUAGAUGAGUUGAAGAUAAGGAUGGUUGUUGUGGAUGUUUGAAUUGGUCAGCUGAUGAUCAGCUGAAAGGACUCUCAAAGCACAAAUGAAAGCCCUAAUUGAAAAUGUAGGCAACCUGGAUAUAUAAUUUGAGGAUCACUAUCAUGGAAACAAUCAACAUUCCUAAAGGGAAAAAAGACCAGAUGGAAGAAAAGCAUAAUUAAACAAAUACUAGUAAAAUAUUUAUCUGAAGUAAAUAGUCUUGAGACUGUCAAUUGUAAGGGCUGCCCAAAUUACAGGUUUUACUGAUGAGAAAAGACACAAUUACUGAUAAAGAGAGAGACACAUAUACUGAUAAAGUCCU